GACAGAGGGGGCAAGCGUUGCUCGGAAUCACUGGGCGUAAAGGGCGCGUAGGCGGGAUGGCAAGUCGGUCGUGAAAUCCUUCGGCUCAACCGAAGAACGUCGGCCGAUACUGCCGUUCUUGAGGGAUGCAGAGGAGAUUGGAAUUCCCGGUGUAGCGGUGAAAUGUCGUAGUAGAGAUCGGGAGGAACACCGGUGGCGAAGGCGGGUCUCUGGGCGAUCUCCUGACGCUGAGGCGCGAAAGCGUGGGGAGCAAACGGG
rnacentral:rRNA from 1 species